AACGAACGCUGGCGGCAGGCUUAACACAUGCAAGUCGAGCGCCCCGCAAGGGGAGCGGCAGACGGGUGAGUAACGCGUGGGAAUCUACCCAUCUCUACGGAAUAACGCAUGGAAACGUGUGCUAAUACCGUAUACGUCCUUCGGGAGAAAGAUUUAUCGGAGAUGGAUGAGCCCGCGUUGGAUAGCUAGUUGGUGGGGUAAAGGCCUACCAAGGCGACGAUCCAUAGCUGGUCUGAGAGGAUGAUCAGCCACACUGGGACUGAGACACGGCCCAGACUCCUACGGGAGGCAGCAGUGGGGAAUAUUGGACAAUGGGCGCAAGCCUGAUCCAGCCAUGCCGCGUGAGUGAUGAAGGCCCUAGGGUUGUAAAGCUCUUUCACCGGUGAAGAUAAUGACGGUAACCAGAGAAGAAGCCCCGGCUAACUUCGUGCCAGCAGCCGCCGUAAGAC
rnacentral:rRNA from 1 species